CGAGCGCUGGCGGCGUGCCUAAUACAUGCAAGUUGAGCGCUGAAGGUUGGUACUUGUACCAACUGGAUGAGCAGCGAACGGGUGAGUAACGCGUGGGGAAUCUGCCUUUGAGCGGGGGACAACAUUUGGAAACGAAUGCUAAUACCGCAUAAAAACUUUAAACACAAGUUUUACGUUUGAAAGAUGCAAUUGCAUCACUCAAAGAUGAUCCCGCGUUGUAUUAGCUAGUUGGUGAGGUAAAGGCUCACCAAGGCGAUGAUACAUAGCCGACCUGAGAGGGUGAUCGGCCACAUUGGGACUGAGACACGGCCCAAACUCCUACGGGAGGCAGCAGUAGGGAAUCUUCGGCAAUGGACGAAAGUCUGACCGAGCAACGCCGCGUGAGUGAAGAAGGUUUUCGGAUCGUAAAACUCUGUUGGUAGAGAAGAACGUUGGUGAGAGUGGAAAGCUCAUCAAGUGACGGUAACUACCCAGAAAGGGACGGCUAACUACGUG
rnacentral:rRNA from 1 species